GGCCUGUUUUGGGCCUGUAGGGGUUCAGUUUCUCCUCAGCCAAGGAUGGAGGCCAAAAUCAGCCCCUGAGAACCACUGUCAGGAUUACCAUGAGUCAGCAGCCUCGUUUUCCUGUUUCAGACAUUU